AACGAACGCUGGCGGCGUGCCUAACACAUGCAAGUCGAACGGGGAUAGGGAGCUUGCUUCCUAUUCUAGUGGCGCACGGGUGAGUAACGCGUAGAUAAUCUGCCUGACGAUCCGGGAUAACAUCUCGAAAGGGGUGCUAAUACCGGAUAAGCCCACGGGGUCUUUGGAUCUUGCGGGAAAAGGGGGGGACCUUUUGGCCUUCUGUCGUCAGCUGAGUCUGCGUACCAUUAGCUAGUUGGUAGGGUAAAGGCCUACCAAGGCUACGAUGGUUAGCUGGUUUGAGAGAAUGAUCAGCCACACUGGAACUGAGACACGGUCCAGACUCCUACGGGAGGCAGCAGUGGGGAAUUUUGCGCAAUGGGCGAAAGCCUGACGCAGCAACGCCGCGUGAGUGAUGAAGGCUUUCGGGUCGUAAAGCUCUGUCGAGGGGAAAGAAGUGUAUUGUGGCUAAUAUCCGCGAUACUUGACGGUACCCCUAAAGGAAGCACCGGCUAACUCCGUGCCAGCCGCCGCAGUAACAC
rnacentral:rRNA from 1 species